AUACGUAGGGGGCGAGCGUUGUCCGGAAUGAUUGGGCGUAAAGGGCGCGUAGGCGGCCCGGUAAGUCUGGAGUGAAAGUCCUGUUUUUAAGAUGGGAAUUGCUUUGGAUACUGUCGGGCUUGAGUGCAGGAGAGGUAAGUGGAAUUCCCAGUGUAGCGGUGAAGUGCGUAGAGAUUGGGAGGAACACCAGUGGCGAAGGCGACUUACUGGACUGUAACUGACGCUGAGGCGCGAAAGUGUGGGGAGCAAACAGGAUUAGAUACCCUGGUAGUCCACGCUGUAAACGAUGAAUGCUAGGUGUAGCGGGUAUCGACCCCUGCUGUGCCGCAGUAAACACAAUAAGCAUUCCGCCUGGGGAGUACGGCCGCAAGGUUGAAACUCAAAUGAAUUGACGGGG
rnacentral:rRNA from 1 species